rnacentral:rRNA from 1 species
GUUGCCAGCGUAAAGUCGGGCACUCACAGGAGACUGCCGGAGACAAUUCGGAGGAAGUGGGGAUGACGUCAAAUCCUCAUGGCCCUUAUGACCUGGGCUACACACGCGCUACAAUGGCCUGUACAGAGGGAAGCGAAAGAGCGAUCUGGAGCGAAUCUCACAAAACAGGUCUCAGUUCGGAUUGCAGGCUGAAACCCGCCUGCAUGAAGCCGGAAUUGCUAGUAAUCGCAGAUCAGCUACGCUGCGGUGAAUACGUUCUCGGGCCUU